UCCCUCUCUCAUAUUAUGUUGUUCCUUUGCUCGACUUUCUAAUGAUAGACUAUGGCGUGGAUAAACGGUUGGAACCUGUGAUCAAUGCUGCACUUGAUCAUUCGCCCGACACUCUAAGCUUCUUAUGGAGCCCUAAGAGAGAUUACGCGUGUGAUUUCUUAAUGUAUAGUAUACCAGGGGCACCUACAUGGGCCUGUGUGUGCGGCGUAGUGUGUCGUUUUCUGCUGGCUCGGGACAUUCGUGAAGGAAUAAGUGCGAUCUGUCGACAAAAGAAGUGCUCGUUAUUUCUUGAUCACGCGUGUUGAUUUUUAUUCGUUGUGAUAGAUAAACGACGGUUUUAAACAUUUAAGCGGUGUUCUUCUGAUGUAAUUUGUCGAGAAGUGCUUUCGAUCACUGAUGUGAAAUACGUCGUCAAGACAGCUUAUAGUGACGCGUGUUGAUAAAAAUACAAAGCAUUUCGAGUCCCGUAGAGCGUUCCAAAACUUCUUCAACAAAACUGUCGAAAGGAUUAGCAGUACAAGUUGCACUUCCUAAAGUCGGAUUACCUGAAACACUACUAGCAAAAGGAUUACCUUAAGUGCCUAUUGCGGUGACACCCAAAACAAAACAAGAAAGAAAGAAAAAAACAAA